CAAUAGCGUAUAUUAAAGUUGUUGCGGUUAAAAGCUCGUAGUUGGAUUUCUGUCUAGGGUGGCCGGUACCCACUAUGUGAAGUAUCUGGUUCAGUCUGGGCAUCCUCUUGGGGAUCGUUCCUGUGCUUGAUUGCAUGGGACGGAAUUCAAGACUUUUACUUUGAGGAAAUUAGAGUGUUCACGGCAAGCUUUCGCUUUGAAUACAUUAGCAUGGAAUAAUAAUAUAGGGCGUAAGUUCUAUUUUGUUGGUUUCUAGAACAUACGCAAUGAUUAAUAGGGAUAAUUGGGGGCACUCGUAUUAACACGUCAGAGGUGGAAUUCUUAGAUUGUGUUACGACGAACUACUGCGAAAGCAUUUGCCAAGGAUGUUUUCAUUGAUCAAGAACGAAAGUAUGGGGAUCGAAGACGAUCAGAUACCAU
rnacentral:rRNA from 1 species